UACGUAGGUGGCAAGCGUUGUCCGGAUUUACUGGGCGUAAAGAGCGCGCAGGCGGUCGUUCAAGUCGCGUGUGAAAGCCCCCGGCUCAACUGGGGAGGGUCACGCGAUACUGAUCGACUCGAAGGCAGGAGAGGGUAGUGGAAUUCCAGGUGUAGCGGUGAAAUGCGUAGAUAUCUGGAGGAACACCGGUGGCGAAGGCGGCAUCCUGGACCGACAUUGACGCUGAGGCGCGAAAGCCAGGGGAGCAAACGGG
rnacentral:rRNA from 1 species